GUCUACAGCCAUGCUACUCUGAACAAGCCUGAUCUUGUCUGCUCUCAGAGAUUAAGCAAGGUCGGGCCUGGUUACUACUUGGAUGGGAGACCACCUAGGAAGACCAGGUGCUGUAGGAG
rnacentral:rRNA from 1 species